UUCUCUCUCUUUUUUAAGGUCCUAAGUUCUCCAUGAUGUUCUCAUAGACCAAAAUAUAAAGUGAGGAUUCAGGCACCAAAUUAAAAGACACCAUAAAAGUGAAUUCAACACCAACUCGGCUGCUAAAGCAGUAAUAUGCAGCACUGGCAUAUUUCCCUCUUUCAACAUGGAAGAUUCUACAAAGCAGACAACAGUGACCUAGUUACAAGAGGUGUGCUCAUAAAUAUAUUACGCCGCCAACCAGUAAGCAAUUUCAAGCAUUCUUUUUUCAGAGAAUAAACUGAGAACUCUGGGGAAGCAUCAGUCUCCUCUCCUGAUACCACCCAGACUGUCCCUCCAGCUCUGCUCUAUCAUGACCUGUUACUUCACUUCCCUUUGCCAGUGGCACUACUUAAAUACACCAAAGUCGUGGUCAUUCUGCAUGGUAUUGCCUGCACGGGGUGCUCUGGAGCUGGGUCCUUCAAGACUAGCAGAGAGAAAUUUCUGAGAAUUCAUGGAAAAACGGUUGUGGAGAAGGAAUGGACAACUAUAUAAAUCUUGGGGUAGUGCCAAUCUCUCGCCUCUCAUCCUUCCUCUGAAGUUGUACUGAAGCCUUCAUGCUGGACAAUGUGGCCACCAAGACUGUUGUAGUGCUACUCAGUUGCUUUACCUCCUCUGUUUUGGAUUGGGAAGCUUUACCUCCUCUGUUUUGGAUCGUCACCAAUACAGUUCUCAGGGAGACACACCAGGAGGUCGUGUCCCAGCCAGAAGCAGGAAGCCCUUGCAAUAUCUUGAGAGACCCUAUUUUUGCUGGCUUUCUAGGCAAGUUGUGCAGACCGAAGAACUUCUGAUAUCCAGAUUUCACUUAGCGGAAAAAUGAGAGGACUUAGUGCUCUUACUGUCAUUUCAGAAAAACAUCGAUGUUGGGAGAACGGUGACUGAGGAAUGACUGCACUUGACCCCUCCCUCGUAUCUGAGGUGAAGCCAUUCACCACCACUAUCUCACUUUCAUCUCUAGCAUCAUUUUUCAUCCUGUCUUGUUAUUAAUAGCAUUCUUGGCUGGCCUUCUGAAUUAGUCUUCGCUGUGAUACUAUCAAAAGUUUUCUCCGUUUUUCUUCGUGCAAUUGUGUCUGUGAUUUAGCUGUUCAUUUGUGCUGCUAUUGUAAGGAGAAAAAGUGAAUUGAGGGUCCUGAUUCUGCAUCUAGGGCACACAAGCAGGGCCCUGAGCUUCCAUGUAGCUGCUUUGAAGACAAACAAGAAAAGACAGUGAACGUCCAAAAAAGCUCACAGGAACCGCUAUAACUAAGUGAGAAGACGCUCUUACUUUGUGUGGCCAAACUUCAGAGAAUUCUUAAGGAAUGAUGCAACCAAGCACCGGCAGGCACCUUCUCAGCUGGCGAGUGCCGAGAGGGCCAGCGAGGAACGGCCCCGAAUGGGAGCUGGAACUGAAGGGCGCCAAGUUACUCCCACCGCUUCACAGGGUGGCCAGACCCUACGGGGGUCCAAAGAGAUGCAGCGAAAGCUCUGUGUUUGGUCGCCUUCUACCACAUAGCUUCCUCUCCGCCUUCUUGACGUUCAUUCAGCUUACUGGGGCCCAGACGUGUCCAUACUACCAUCCAUGUGCAGCGUUUUCCAGCUGUUCUAUUUUUGUUGUGGUGGUUUCAUUUCCCUGAGCUCAAUGAGGCCAAGUGUACCUUUUACCAAAGAACUCCCAACACCAGGAAAAACUUCUUUCUGCAUGUGAGUCACUAAGCGAUCACUAUAAUUUUACUCCAAAGCAAACCAGUGUGAAAGGACUUCCAGGAAUAUGGGGGGAAAAAGGGGAAAAACACCCCAAAGAUUUUGCAUCCCUGUGUUUCCAAAAUGUAGAAAAUAAAAAGGGAAAUGCACUUCUCUGUGGACCUGGGAUUUUUCCCGUAGAGACUUGUUGGAAGCUAUUGUGUAAAAAUGCCAAAACCUGGCAAUAAUUCAAAAUCAUGAGAAUUUGCAGAAUUUGCUCAGAAAGCUGAACUGAAAUAGCAAAACAAGAUCCUACAGUUUUGCCUGUAAUAAGCUUGUGCAGGGGAAAAUCGAAUGAACAAAAACUUACAUUAGGAAGAAGAAAUGGAAGUCAAAAGGAAACAGGUGGAUAAAACAAGUCCUUAAAUCCUCAGUCCAUCACAGACUCAAGAAACCCACAAAACAAAAACCCUACCUUUAAGGAGGUAUCAAAACUGCUGGGUUUUGAGAAAGAAAGAAAAUAAGGGUCUAAUUUAUUCAGAGUCUGAGUACAAGUGAAGUUCUGCUGAGAAAUGGAAACAGUAACAGACCUGUCGGAGGAAUUCUGGACACGUGUACAGAAAACAGUAUAAAAAAGAACAGAAUCCAGAAAACACAGAUUUGAAGAGAAGAUUAAUGAGCAAGUAAUUCAAUGAAGAAAACUUUGUGCCAAAUCAGAAUCCAUCAAUAACCUUUUGUUGAUAAAAUAACCAGACGUGACAGCUCAUCAAAAACCUCUGAAAAACUCGCCCCUUUGAAAGUUUUAGAGAAAAAGGGCCAACCAAAGCUGUCUAUUCAUUGAUUCAACAGAGAAAUUGCAUCUUUUUUUUUUGCCUGUACUUGCAAACUGAUGUCAUUCUAAUUAAGUAGAACUCAACGCUGAAACUAUAGUUAUUUUCAGGGCUUCAGGGAAGCUUAGAGUAGUUGGCCUUUGAGCACUUUCCUCGUCAUACCCAAAAAACACGUCCAAUGUGGCUUAAAAACAAAAGUAGUGAUUGAUCUCUAUCAGUAGAUCAGGACUGAGGAGGGAAGGGAAUACAUGCAGGAAAACCAUGGGAAUAAACGGGCCAUAUAUUCCACAUAUUGGAAAUAAGAUUUCUAAGCAUUCAAGGAAUAAGGUUUUGGAGGAACUUUCCUAGGAAGAUAAAAAGGCUUAAGGUGCUUUUAAGCUGAAAGUUUGCAUGUUUAUGAAAGAGAAGAUGUAGCAUGACUAUUUGCAGUUAGAAGGUCCUAGAUUUAAUAUUCCAAGACUAUUCCUUCCAGUUUUAUGUUCUUCUAUCGCAUUAAACUAAUGAAAAGUCUUCAGUAGCUUACUAAUAAUGCUUUAUUGGAGAUUUAAACUGUAGAUGAAUGGUAAUUAGCUAUUAACAUUUUUGUAAAAUAUAAAAUGGAGGAUGCGUUAACAUGUCUUCUUUAGAUUUAUGAUCCUGGUUGUGCUGAAAGUUAAUGGAGUGCACGAAUUUUUAUUAUACAUUUGCCAAAGCUUUGCACACGAAAGAGUAUUAAACAUUUAUCCAAGA